UUCAGACGAUGUAAGCAUGGUCCUACCAAG
rnacentral:piRNA from 1 species